UCUUCAUUUUUCUUAUGUUCUUUUUCUCCAACCUUAUUGUCCACUACACGUUCGUUUCUUAAAGUAGUCAUGGCAUUAGCUUGUUCAUGGUGAACAUCAUUCUAGUGGGUCUCGUGAGCCAUGCACUGUCCCCUCGGGUUACUCACUGGUUGACUUGGAAGCUUGCCUUCCUCUCUCUUAUUCAGUGCACUAGCUAGCUGCCCUAGCUGGGUUUCUAAUUUGGCAAUCGACUGAGUAUGUGAGUGCAAUAGUUGUGUAUUGGCUUCCAGUGCUUGAAGAGCAGUUAAUAC
rnacentral:lncRNA from 1 species